GAGAGCCUAGCUCAGUGGUGGAGCAUCUGCUUUGAAUACAGAAGGUCCAUGGUUCAAUCCCUGGUGCCUUCA